rnacentral:rRNA from 1 species
CAGUCGCCGCGGGAAUACGGAGGGUGCAAGCGUUAAUCGGAAUUACUGGGCGUAAAGCGCACGCAGGCGGUCUGACAAGUCAGAUGUGAAAUCCCCGGGCUUAACCUGGGAACUGCAUUUGAAACUGUCAGGCUGGAGUCUUGUAGAGGGGGGUAGAAUUCCAGGUGUAGCGGUGAAAUGCGUAGAGAUCUGGAGGAAUACCGGUGGCGAAGGCGGCCCCCUGGACAAAGACUGACGCUCAGGUGCGAAAGCGUGGGGAGCAAACAGGAUUAGAGACCCGUGUAGUCCCUGUCUCUUAUAA